GGAUUACUAGUGCAGAAAGGAAUCCUGGAAGCUCUGUUGCUGACCUGUCUCUAGACUUCCCAGCGCCCUGCGCUGGUCAGAGACUUCCUAUGGACAAUGAGGGGAUUCAGCAACAAUGAAUGCAGCAGCGCAGCUGUUUAUCUGGGAACCGCUGGGGAUGAGACAGAGCCCUUAUCCCGCAGCAGGCAGGGAAGCCGGCCACGGAGGAGGCUCAGUCUGAAAGAACAGGGCCAUGCAGUUGGCAUAGCCCUCAUUCUGAGCUAGAGAUUUUAAUCAUAAGAUUCAGUCAAGCCCCAA
rnacentral:lncRNA from 1 species